CAGCCGCCACGGGAAUACGUAGGUGGCAAGCGUUGUCCGGAAUUAUUGGGCGUAAAGGGCUCGCAGGCGGUUUCUUAAGUCUGAUGUGAAAGCCCCCGGCUCAACCGGGGAGGGUCAUUGGAAACUGGGAAACUUGAGUGCAGAAGAGGAGAGUGGAAUUCCACGUGUAGCGGUGAAAUGCGUAGAGAUGUGGAGGAACACCAGUGGCGAAGGCGACUCUCUGGUCUGUAACUGACGCUGAGGAGCGAAAGCGUGGGGAGCGAACAGGAUUAGAGACCCCAGUAGUCCCUGUCUCUUAUAC
rnacentral:rRNA from 1 species